ensembl:rRNA 5S_rRNA 5S ribosomal RNA
GCUUACGGCCAUACCUCUCUGGCUCCGCCUGAUCUCGUCUGAUCUCAGAAGCUAAGCAGAGUAGGGCCUGGUUAGUACUUGGAUGGAAGACAGCCUGGGAAUCCCAUGUGCCGUAAGCU